GCCAGUUUGUCCAACUCCUGUUGGCUUUGGCCAACCUCCAGCCACCUCCAUCGCCACUCGCUGGGCAAACGGCAGCAAGACAGAGGGACAGGCCGUGGGGUUUUGCUUCCUGCCAGCAGCGAUUGGCACUGAUUGGCACUAAUUGCUCCCCGCAUUCCAGAGAGGCACUUUCGGAGUUAUUUCCUAUGCAGAUUUCCUGAUUCUGACUUUUCGUGCCGCGGUUACAGGAAUUAAAGGCGUCACGUGGGCUCCGCUCUGCCAGCUGAGAGAUCCAGCCCAUCUCCAGCAGCAAACCCUCUUCUGGAACUCACAGCACCAUCCAGACACCACUUGGACACCACCUGGACACCAUCUGGACAUCAUCCAGACACCAUAUGGACACCAUCCGGACACCAACCGGCCAUGAAACUCAUCGGGAUGAAGACGUGCAUUUGGGAUUGGGGACCCAACCCACAGAUCUGCUUUGCCCAAGCUGCUCACUGAUCGGUCUUUUGGAAGAACUGCAGCUGUGGAAGAACUGCAGCAACCACAGAAACUCCACGAGCACACAGCACCCAGCUCCGUCCCACCCUACAGAGCCACCUCAAGCUCUGUUUGCUCUCCAAACACUGCAGCUCCAGCAGCCGUGUUGUGCUCUGACCCCAAAGCACCAUUGGGUUCAGUGUAAGGUUUGCCAUUUCCCACCCCUUCCUGCAUUCAGGACAGCCACCUCCAGUGCCGCAGGGUGACAAUGUACCCCAAGCCCCAUCUCCGCCCCACAUCUCCACCCCAUAUCUCCAUACAUCCCCAUGUCACUGUGCCCCUCAUCUCUCAUACCCCACCUCUCCACAUCCCCCUGUGUGGCACUGUAUUCCUGCUGGCCACAAUGCCAAAUCACCCCAUUUCCCAAUGUCCCCAUGUCUCUGUGCCCCCCAUAUUCCCAAGACCCUCUGCCCCCUAUCUCCACCCCACAUCUCUGCCCCACAUUACCAUCUCCUGCUCAGCACUGCGCUCCUGCAGGCUGUGAUCCCAUAACCCCACGUACCUCCACACGACCCCAUACCCCCGGCUCUGUCCCAUAUCCACACAUAGCCCCCCUACAUCCAUGCCUGCCCCACAUCCCUGCCCCACACAUCACCUUCUGCCCGGCGCUGCACUCCUGCAGGCUGCAUCCCCACAUGUCCACAUAACCCAAUGUCCCCAUAUCCCCCCAUAUCCUCAUACCACCCCACACCCCAACGCCCCCCAAGUCCCACCCGUACCCCACACAUUACUUUCUCCUGCUCUUUAUGCUUUCCCCACGCUGCCACCGGGGGACAACACCCGCUCCCAUCCCAACCCUUGUCCCAAUCUCAUCCCAUCCCGGAGCCACAACGCCGCCCCAGCCCUACCAGGGUCCCACAAGACCCCGCUCCCCUCCCGGCCCCACGCAGCCCCCUGGACGCCACGCACCUCCCGUCAGCGGCAGCGGCUCGGAUCCUCCCCGGGGCGGUGCUGGAUGCCGGGGCCGGGCUGGGAGCCUUGCGCUCCGGCUGCAGCUCCGGCUCCGCCCGCUCCGGGCUCCCCCUCCGCCUCCCCCGGCACUUCCCUUUCCCACGGGCUCACAGCGCUGCCCAUUAUUAUUUCCCAUUAUUUCCCACAAGUUCUCCACUAUUUCCCAUAAUUUCCAGUCAUUUCUCAUCAUUUUUCCAUUAUUUCCCACUUCUUCCUGUUUUUCUCCAUCCUUUCCCAUCUUUUCCCCAUUAUAUUUCCAUUAUUUCCCAUAAUUUCCCAUUAUUACCUACUAUUUCCCAUUAUUUCUCUUUUAUUUCACCCUAUUCCCCAUUAUUUCCCACUAUUCCCAUUAUUUCCCUAUUAUUCCCCAUUAUUCCCCAUUAUUUCUCCCUUAUUUCCCCAUUGUUUUUCCAUUAUUCCCAUUAUUUCACUAUUGUUUUCCAUUAUUGCUCCAUUAUUUUCCAUUUUUUCUUUAUUAUUUCCCACCAUUCUUUCCCAUUCUUUCUGCAUUAUUUCCCACUAUUUCCCAUUAUUUCUCAAUUAUUUCCCAUUAUUGCCCCAUAUUUCUCAUUAUUUCUCAAUUAGUUUCCAUUAUUCCCCCAUAUUUGCCCAUCCCACUAUUUCCCAUUAUUUUCCUACAUUUCCCCAUUACUUCUUAUUACUACCCACUAGUUCCCAUUAUUACCCAGUAUCUCUCGUUAUCUCUCCAUCAUUUCCCACUAUUUCCCCAUUUUUACCCAUCACUUCCCAUAAUUUCCCCAUUAUUUCCCACUAUUUCCCCAUUUCCCUCCAUUACUUCCCAUAAUUUCCCCAUUAUUUUCCAUUUCCCCCACGAUUACCCACAAUUUCCCAUUAUUUUCCUAUUUUCCCCAUUAUUUCCCAUGAUUACGCACUAUUUCUCAUUAUUUCUCCCUUAUUUCCCAUUAUUUCCCACUAUUUCCCCAUUUUUACCCAUCACUUCCCACAAUUUCCCCAUUAUUUCCCAUUAUUACCCAGUAUCUCUCGUUAUCUCUCAAUCAUUUCCCUCUAUUUCCCCAUUUUUACCCAUUACUUCCCAUAAUUUCCCCAUUAUUUCCCAUUAUUACCCACUAUUUCUCAUUAUUUCUCCCUUAUUUCCCAUUAUUUCCCACUAUUUCCCCAUUUUUACCCAUCACUUCCCACAAUUUCCCCAUUAUUUCCCAUUAUUACCCAGUAUUUCUCGUUAUCUCUCCAUCAUUUACCACUAUUUCCCCAUUUUUACCCAUUACUUCCCAUAAUUUCCCCAUUAUUUCCCAUUAUUACCCAUCACUUCCCACAAUUUCCCCAUUAUUUCCCAUUUCCCCCCACGAUUACCCACAAUUUCUCAUUAUUUUCCCACAUUUCCCCAUUAUUUCCCAUUAUUACCCACUAUUUCUCAUUAUUUCUCCCUCAUUUCCCAUCAUUUCCCACUAUUUCCCCAUUUUCCCCCAUUACUUCCCACCGUUUCCCCAUCACUUCCCAUUUUCCCCCAUUAUUAACCAUUAUUAGCCACUAUUUCCCCACAUUUCCCCUCCUCUCCACGCAGCCACAUGGGAUUUUCCACUGUCUCCCCCCUGCCCCGGGGGCAGAGCAGGCACUGCCCUUCCUUUUCUCACCCAACCCAUUGGGCAAAGAGCCCAGAGCAGCUCCGUGGUGCCCUGCACACCGAUGCACACAGACUUCCUGCCCUUUGUAUGCUUCACUUGGCAUUUUCCAGCUCGGCUGCCUCCCCACACUCCUCCCAAUCCCACACCGUCCAUGGGAGCGUUACCUGUAGAUUUCUCCUUUAUUUUUCCUGUAAGAAAAUGGAACUCAAUCUAACUUCACCCAGGAAAUGAGCCCCGUACUUUCAAGCAGACCCUACAGCUCUGGAACCAGCCCCUAUGGGCUACAACAGGAGCUGGUGCAGCUCAAUGGGUUCCUUGUGCUCCCUUCUGCAAAGCUGAGCGUUGGCCAAGGACGGGCUUCUUCACGGCCACAGGAUGAGGGCUGUGUUACAGAGCUCCAGCCAGGUUCCCUUUGGGGCUCAGGGGUCAUCCCAGAGCUCUGGGUGCUCCUGGAUGGCCCAACCCCAAAACCAACCCCAUAUCCAACACCAUCACCAUGCCCAGCACUAUCACCAUGCCCAAAGCCAACCUCAUACCCAACACCAUCACCAUGCCCAGUGCCAUCACCAUGCCCAAAACCAACCUCAUACCCAACACCGUCACCAUGCCCAGUGCCAUCACCAUGCCCAAAGCCAACCUCAUACCCAGCACCACCACCAUAACCAAAACCAUCACCAUGCCCAGCACCAUCAUCAUACCCAACACCAUCAUCAUACCCAACACCAUCACCGUGCCCAACACCAUCACCGUGCCCAACGCCAACCUCAUGCCUGCAGCCCUUUGGAAGAAGAGGAGUCGGGUUUGGGUUGAGCUGAGCCCCCAGCCCUCAUGCAUCUGAGUGAGGACAGCUGUUUUAUAGGGUUGAUUCAGGAAUAGGACACACCUCUGCGUUUCUUUGGGUUCUCCACGGAACGCUCAGCGCUGCGGCGGCGAGAAAUCCUGGCUGCGUGCUCCCUCCUCUGUCCAUAGGGCGUAGCAGCAACUGGAGCACAGCUGAGCCCUUCCGGGGGUGGGAGGGAUGCUCGGCGGGGACACAACGGGAUGCAACAGGGAUGUAGUGAGGAUGCAGCUGGGAUGCGCUGGAGAGCAGUAGGGAUGCGGCAGGGAUGCAUUGGGGACGCAGUAGGGAUGUAGGGGGGAAUGGAAAGAGGGGAUGGAAAGAGGAUACAGCACGGAUGCAGAAGAGAUGAAGUAGGGAUGCAGCAAGGAUGUGAUGGGGAUGCAGAUGAUGGGUUGGAAUGGGGAUGCAGCAGGGAUGCAGCAAGGAUAUGGUAGGGAUGCACUGGGAAUGCAGCAGGGAUGCAGUAGGGGUGCAGCAGAGAUGCAACAGAGACACAGCAGGGAUGAAGUAGGGAUGCACACAGACUAGUUAGCAACAGCCAGCCUUAAAAACAGGAACAACUUAAAGGUCAACCAUAGAUUUCAGGUCACAUUCUUCAAACUGGCUUCAACAGUGCAGUUUCCUUCAGCUCUGGCAGUCACACAAUAUGGCAUCAGCAAAUAUUUGCCACCAACCUCAGCCACGGACUGCGCCGGGCUUAUCUCACUAUAGUCACACCUCAAUGCCAUGUUUUAUUCCCAUUAAUACUCCAUCAUAGUGCUAAUUAACAGGGCUGCACUGCCAGCUGGCAGCUGGUGCGUGUUUCCCUUCCCAUUGCUCACAACGCUCCUGCUUGGUUCCAUGCACAACACCGUGGGCUUUAGAUGUGUAAAGUAUCAAAUGUUCAUUGUAUUUCGUUGCUGUUCUGUAUUAUCCGUGGUUACCUUGGCAUCCUCCAGUCCAAAAAGCCAAUCUCAGCCUGUUGGGAAAUGGGCAGACCCAACUACGCACAACCUGACCCCAAGAUACGGGGUAGAAAACCAAGCACAUGGGAAGAUAUUUUCCUGCUGUGCUGCCCUAUGGGAUAAAAAAAGGGAUUCUUACCUGUUUUCUGCAGGUUGCACCACCUUGGAUUGGCGUCGGGUUGCUCCAUGCACAACAGGGACAUCCUGCCCUACACCUUUCCCAUGCCCAUCCCAUCGCCUUGGCCUCCAAGGUGGACUCCAUCCCUGGCAUCACAUCCACGGAUCCUGAACGGAUCUUGGCCCACAUCCUUACCUAUAGGAAAUCCCAACUCUGUUUGCUCCCACGGGUCAAAUAACCCAAACCCAUCCCAUGAUGAAGAUGGCGUUGCUGGUGGGGCAGCCAACAGCAUGCCCCAUUGGCACCCAAAAGGUGCUGCAACGAUGCUGAGCUGCCCAGUGCCCUACACCCACCUCCACCCCACUGCCAUGUCCCCUCUGCACCACCCAAGGGAUCCCAUUGGCCAGGACAUGAAGACAAAUCAACCCAGUGCCCAACCCAACCCAACACCAAUCCCCAACCUCAAUUGAACCACGUGGAGCUCACCCGUACUUUAAAAUAAGCUUUAUUUAGAUUUUUUAUAAUUUUUUUUUUGUCUGUUUGUUUGUAAUAUUUGCAUCCAUGCCUUCAAGGAUCCUCCCCCCCCUUCACUGGGGGGGGAAAAAAAAGUUAAAUCUAAGGUUACCCAUAAUCCAUAUGCUAUUUCCCGAAGUUCUCUCUUAAAUAAAUCAUCCUCUUAGUAAGUUCUUUUUUUUUUUUUUUUUUCUUUUUUUCUUUCUUUUUUUUUUUUUUUUUUUAGAAUUAUUUCCUAAUUUACAAAAUAAAAAAAAAAAAAAAAAAAAAAAAAGCUGAAAUGCAAAAGGAAACUACUGGAUACCGAGGGAAAUCGCUCGUCUGCUUUCGUCGGCGGAGAGUUUAAAUUAUUUAAAAAAAAAUAAAAAUAGAAAGAAAUGCGAGGAGAAAAACAAAAUGAUUAAAAAAAAAGUCAAUGUAUUAAAAAAAAAUAAUAAUUAAAAAAAAAAAAUCAGCUUUUCUGCAGAAAA